rnacentral:misc_RNA from 1 species
GUGGAGGAGCUACCGGAGCCAACGAGUUGAUCAUGUUCUGCUUGGCUGAUCAUGGAGAUGCUUUCCUCGUUCCUACACCUUACUAUCCAGCAUUCGACCGCGACCUGACAUGGCGAACUGGUGUCCAGAUUAUUCCAGUUGAUUGCUACAGCUCCAACAAUUUCCAGGUAACAAAGGAUGCACUUGAAUCAGCAUAUGAUAAAGCCCAAGAUGCCGGUAUUAAUGUCAAAGGCUUGAUCAUAGCCAACCCAUCGAAUCCACUGGGCACCAUUUUGGACAGGGAG